rnacentral:pre_miRNA from 1 species
AACUACCCUGUCGAACUGGGGCACAGUUCGACAGGUAUCUGUUGAACUGCCCCAGUUCGAUAGGUAUCCCUAUCGAACUGUCCCAGUUCGACAGGGCA